rnacentral:lncRNA from 1 species
ACUUGGAAAUAAAAGAUCAUGAGAAUAAAGUGGACAACUUUUAAAAGGUUUAUGAGGGCUUUACAUAAUUGUUGUUGUUGUUGUUGUUGUUUUUGAGAUGGUGUUUUGCUCUUGUUACCCAAGCUGGAGUGCAAUGGCGCAAUCUUGGCCCACUGCAACCUCCACCUCUUGGGUUCAAGUGAUUCUCCUGCCUGAGCCUCCCGAGUAGCUGGGAUUACAGGCACGUGCCACCACACCUGACUAAUUUUGUGUAUUUUUAGUAGAGACGGUGUUUCACCAUUUUGGUCAGGCUGGUCUUGAACUCCUAACCUCAGGUGAUCCACCCACCUCGGCCUCCCAAAGUGCUGGGAUUAUGGGUGUGAGCCACCACGCCUGGCCUACAUAAUUAUUUUAAUGAACCUCUCAGUUCAUCACAUUAAUGCAGGGUCUGUCAUAGAAAACAUUUUUUCUAAUUCUUGAAACUGAAGUUUGUAUAAUUCCAACCAGUGUGGAAGUCUAUCUUGCGAUAACCAGAAAUAUUCCUCCACCAUGAGGUCCAAAAUAAAGUUGAAAGUAGCUGAUAUGGGACCACAGAAUAUUGGCCAAUCA